ACAUGCCUACAACAUAGUGUUCAUGCACUGGAUCCCAUUAGAACUCCGCAAUUAAGUGUACUCAAGCUAGAGUAGUACUGGGAUGAAUGACUG
rnacentral:rRNA from 1 species